rnacentral:lncRNA from 1 species
UUUUAAUUGCAACCAUUGUAGUAUCUGCUAAAAUAUCUAAUUGGGAUUAAAGUAAUAAAAUAAUAUUUUUUGUCUACUUUGUUGCCGCUAAAUCGUGAAAUUUUACAUCCGUGAAUAUAACCCGCAGUGCCAUUAUUCGUUAUAAAGUUUUGACUAGGAACUAAGUUCAUUGAUUUUUGUCAAUAGUUUUUAAAAGAUGUGACAAUUCAUGAUAUAGACUUGAUUGACACAGUUCACUGAAUUCAGAAAAAAAGAUAUUUUGAGUGAGAUAUGGUGUCUAUGUUUACUUCUUUUAGCUUUAAUUUUUCAGUUUUUCAAUUAAAAUUGUUAGCUUUUGAUAUUUUAUACACUGUUGUAUUUAGAUAUUUUGUAUGAUAUUUGUAUUUCACAGAGACUUUGACAUAGUUGUUUAUAUUCAAACAAUGUUAUAUUGAUUAAAAAUGUAGUUAAUAGAUAAUCCAUAUAAGUACUAAACGCUAGUUUUAUGAAUUAUAAGAGACAAAUAUUUUAUGUUUUUAUGACAAAAUCCCAUUUAACAAUAAGUAAAGAAUAGCUUGUUCAAGAGUUAAAAUAUGCAAAAAAAUAAUUCAACCAACAAAUUUAUUUACAAAUAAUCAUAGAUAAAGAGUUCAUUAUCAAUGAUGUUCAGGUCAUAAUCUGUUAACUUAUACAAAAAUCUUCUCCGCUAAACAACUGAGCCAAUUUUAAACAAACCAGGCCACAAUCACCAUUGUGAUAUCUAGUUUACAUAAUGAGUCGAAUUACCAUGCCUGCUAACCAACAUUGGUACCAUGGUUAAAAAGUAGAACAUAGGGAUAAACAUUAGAAUGAAAGUUUUGUAUAUUAUCUUGAAACCCUUAUGAAUCGAGAAAAUCUUCCAGUGUGAUAUACCUAAACAGUAGGUGUAAUUUCCCUUUUUAAAUUCGAUUUUUUUUCCAUUUCUGUGUGACUUUCCUACUAUCUUAAAAACUAUAUUGGGUAGAACAAAAACUUUAUGAACACAAAUGAGUACACUACAAAUAAGUGUAAUGGCUGAAAUGGUCAGUUGACUCCUUAUUGGCGGUUUUACUCAUUAAUGAUUAUUUGCACACAGUUUUUGAAUUUUUAUAAAAAAUCAGAUGUAUGAUUUUCAAUGAGACAAAUCUCUACAAGAGACUUAAUGACGCAGAAAUUAACAACUAUAGGUCACUGCGAAGCCUUUAACAACAAGUGAAGCCCACACCGUGUGGUCAACGAAAACAGGGCUCAAAAUGUCAAAUGUAAAACAAUUCAAACUUUAAAACCAAAGGCUUAAUUUAUGUACAAAAUAAUGAAUGAAAAAUGAUAUGUUACACAUCAACAAACCACAACCAUAGGCUACUAACGUGGGACAUUCACAAACAGAAUAUGGUCGGGUUAAACUAUGGUAAAUGCGCCAACCCUCCCCAUACAAAGGAUUGUUAUGUUAGAGUACAACAUAAGAACAAACUGUAAAAAACAGUUGAAAAAGGUUCUACUCAUCAGAUUGAUACCAAUAUUAUACAUCUACAUAACACAGAGUGGGGUUGGAUUGAUACUUAUAAAUCCCAACAAUAAAAAGACACACAGUUCAGAUCUGUGAGUACUCCUAGUUACUGACAGCUAGUUCUGAGCCAAUAAUAACUAACGAAACAAAAGCAUGCAUCUAAGACUAAUCAAUACACAUCCAACAAUGCAAUGGAUUUAACAAAGGCAUCAUUAACAGUAAGAAAAGACGAAAUGUGCAUAUGUAUAUAAAAAUGAUAAUGAUUUUGAUUUUGAUUUACUGAUAACAAAAUUAAUAGUAAUACCAUUAAAAUGAUAUUCAAAGAUCUAAUUACAGCGUUGAAUAGGUAACCUUUUAGAAUUAGUUUAUUUUAAGGGUCGAUAAGUUUACAGGGAUUGUUUCUAAAUUUCCAUGCUUAGUAAUCAACAUUUCAGAAAAAUGAGAAUGUGUUUGAAAUAAAUUUUCUCCGGGUCCAACCAAACUUCAAAACAAAAUCUGUAUAUCUAUGAAAGAAUUUAGAAAGGUUUUAGGGAUUUCGGUAACAAAAAAAACUAAUAUAAGAAAUACGAUUAGAGUUAAAAAGAUGAUUAGUAGAAUAUCUUUAAAUGAUUAACCAUUACCUAAAUUGGAGUUCUUUAAUUUUAAUGACAAUUUUACAGUUUUUUGGAGUUUUUGCUGAAAUCCUAAAAAAACUUGAUAGGAGAGAUGAUUCUUAAAUGAUGAUUUGUUAUAUUUUUGAUUGUUUGGCAAAUAAAAGAAGAUAGUGAGAAGUUGUAAACAGAAAAAAUUGUCAUAACUACAAGAUCGACAAAAAGUGAUUUUUGUGGUGAAUUUAAACUAGUCUACAUGAAGGAGGAUGUCUAUUUUUGACGAUGCCCAUAUACCUAGGUGAGUGACCUGAGGCUGAGCUCUUUAUAGCCUCCAGUUUCCUAUUUGAAUUCAUGGAGAAGUUACGUUUUGAUAGUAUUACAUAAAUGAAAUAAAUGGCAGAGAAUUGAUAUCUUUUUGUAUGUACUCAUUUGCGUAUAGUUAGCAUCAUUAAGGUAGCA